AAAAAAACUUCAAUUUAUUUUAUGGAUAGGACGAAAAAUAUGGCUCAAAUUCUUAAAUUUAUUUAUGCUUUUAUAAUCCUUCUAUCUUUAUUUUUUGUUGUAACCAAUAGUAGUAGUUUUACCCGCUGCAGAAAUGAUGUUGAAUGUCCACAAUAUUCUUGUUUACGUGGUCUAAAAAUGAAGUGCAUUUGUUUCAAAUGUAUGUGUGUGUGAGUAACAAUUAUAAGUUGAAAAAUUCAUUCAAAAAAAAAAAUUAUAAGUUGAAAAAUAAUUUUAUGUUACUUAAUAAUUUUAGUCUAUUCGUGAACAUCCGAUGAAAUAAGUGUAUCGUUUUAUUUGUACUUAGUUUAGUAAUCUUGGUACUUUUUAAUUUUCCUCAUAAUUUCAUUUGUAUUUCUAUGAUAUUUCAAUUCCUUUAUCAA